CAUUAAAACACCCUUAUAAAAAUAUGGUUUCGUUUCCUUAUUUAUGGAUUUUCCAAAUUUUUAUAAUACAUUUUUCUAUUUUCUAUAUUUUCACGUUGACCUUGGAGUUAAAUGGCGCAUAAACUCUUUUUUAUGGAAGUCACUUAAAGAGGAAAAUGCGUCAGAACGUGUUUAUAGAAAUUUAAAUAAAUUGUUUAACUAUUAACACACAUUUGGCGUAAAAUUUCAAAACAAGUUUUGUCAGCUUAAGCCAGCUUCUUAGCCUUUAUCGCUGUCUUAGCUUGAGCUCACACUAAACAAAUAAAAAAUUUUUUGCAGUCGGCAUUUGAAGCCAAGAUCCACGGUUCUGGAUACUGCGGGAAAACUUGAAAUUCCCAAAAGCAAGUAUGUACGUACAAUACUUUCAGUAUAUACAUUGAGUUGACGCCAUGUGAUGGAUUCAAAUACAGAACUAGCUUAAUUAACGCUUCCUAAAGCAAUUGCAAACAAAUGAUUGAAUCGAGUCUGUCGCUUAUCAGUCGGUCAUGUUAUUUGAACGAAUGUGUAGGCAGUGCAACGGGCAUGGAUUUUCCGGAUUGGAACCUGCUUCUAUCUACAUUGUCAUGUAUCUAUAAUACAACUAUGUACAUACUUAUUUAGAAAAUAUUGUAUAGUAGAACGGCUGCUGGUGUUUAU